UCAGCAGGACACUACAAUUUCAGAGAAAAUGCAGAGAAAUAGGUGGCUAUAUUGCUAAAAUGAACGACCAGGAAGAAAACAGCAGAAUUUUUAAACACAGGUCAAAUACAAAAGCUCAUUACUGGAUAGCCCUGACUGACCUCAAAGAAGGCGAGUGGAGAUGGAGCUUUGAUCAGUCAAAAGCAACGUACACAACAUGGAUAUCUGGCUACGGUUCAAAAGGGGCAGGUCAUAACUGUGUACAAAUUCCAAAUGGUCACGAUGGGAAAUGGAUAGACUACCUCUGUUCACAUCAAGUAAACUAUAUUUGUGAAAGCAAUUUCUGUUUUUAAACAGAUGAAAGGAACGACAUACUUAUCAUUAACAAAUUAAAGUGAUAUAAUUAA